rnacentral:rRNA from 1 species
AUUGAACGCUGGCGGCAGGCCUAACACAUGCAAGUCGAGCGGAUGAAGGGAGCUUGCUCCUGGAUUCAGCGGCGGACGGGUGAGUAAUGCCUAGGAAUCUGCCUGGUAGUGGGGGAUAACGUCCGGAAACGGGCGCUAAUACCGCAUACGUCCUGAGGGAGAAAGUGGGGGAUCUUCGGACCUCACGCUAUCAGAUGAGCCUAGGUCGGAUUAGCUAGUUGGUGGGGUAAAGGCCUACCAAGGCGACGAUCCGUAACUGGUCUGAGAGGAUGAUCAGUCACACUUGAACUGAGACCCGGUUCAGACUCCUACGGGAGGCAGCAGUGGGGAAUAUUGGACCAUGGGCGAAAGCCUGAUCCAGCCAUGCCGCGUGUGUGAAGAAGGGCUUCGGAUUGUAAAGCCCUUUAAGUUGGGAGGAAGGGCAGUAAGUUUAUACCUUGCUGUUUUGACGUUACCAACAGAAUAAGCACCGGCUAACUUCGU